AGAGUUUGAUCAUGGCUCAGGAUGAACGCUAGCGGCAGGCUUAAUACAUGCAAGUCGAGGGGUAGCAAGAUUGUAGCAAUACAAUUGUUGACGACCGGCAAACGGGUGCGGAACACGUACACAACCUUCCUACAAGUGGGGAAUAGCCCAAAGAAAUUUGGAUUAAUACCCCGUAACAUAGCGAUGUGGCAUCACAUUGCUAUUAUAGCUUCGGCGCUUGUUGAUGGGUGUGCGGCUGAUUAGAUAGUUGGCGGGGUAACGGCCCACCAAGUCUACGAUCAGUAGCUGAUGUGAGAGCAUGAUCAGCCACACGGGCACUGAGACACGGGCCCGACUCCUACGGGAGGCAGCAGUAAGGAAUAUUGGACAAUGGACGCAAGUCUGAUCCAGCCAUGCCGCAUGAAGGAUUAAGGUCCUCUGGAUUGUAAACUUCUUUUAUAAGGGACAAAAAAAGGUCUUUCUAGAUCGUCUGACGGUACCUUAUGAAUAAGCACCGGCUAACUCCGUGCCAGCAGCCGCGGUAAUACGGAGGGUGCAAGCGUUAUCCGGAUUUACUGGGUUUAAAGGGUGUGUAGGCGGGCUAUUAAGUCAGUGGUGAAAUCUCCGGGCUCAACCUGGAAACUGCCAUUGAUACUAUUAGUCUUGAAUUUUUGUUGAGGUAGGCGGAAUAAGUCAUGUAGCGGUGAAAUGCAUAGAUAUGACUUAGAACACCAAUUGCGAGGCAGCUUACUAAGCAAAUAUUGACGCUGAGCACGAAGGCGUGAGGAUCAAACAGGAUUAGAUACCCUGUAGUCCACCGCCCUAAAACGAUGAUACUCGACAUACGCGAUACGCAGUGUGGUGUCUGACGAAUCCAUAGUAUCCCCAGCUGAGUGUACGAUCGCAGAUGAACUCGAUGUAUGGCGAUCGUCGCACAGCGAGCAAGCCAUGGUGAAUCC
rnacentral:rRNA from 1 species